AGAGUUUGAUCCUGGCUCAGGAUGAACGCUGGCGGCGUGCCUAACACAUGCAAGUUGAGCGAUUUACUUCGGUAAAGAGCGGCGGACGGGUGAGUAACGCGUGGGUAACCUACCCUGUACACACGGAUAACAUACCGAAAGGUAUGCUAAUACGGGAUAAUAUAUUUGAGAGGCAUCUCUUGAAUAUCAAAGGUGAGCCAGUACAGGAUGGACCCGCGUCUGAUUAGCUAGUUGGUAAGGUAACGGCUUACCAAGGCGACGAUCAGUAGCCGACCUGAGAGGGUGAUCGGCCACAUUGGAACUGAGACACGGUCCAAACUCCUACGGGAGGCAGCAGUGGGGAAUAUUGCACAAUGGGCGAAAGCCUGAUGCAGCAACGCCGCGUGAGUGAUGAAGGCCUUCGGGUCGUAAAACUCUGUCCUCAAGGAAGAUAAUGACGGUACUUGAGGAGGAAGCCCCGGCUAACUACGUGCCAGCAGCCGCGGUAAUACGUAGGGGGCUAGCGUUAUCCGGAUUUACUGGGCGUAAAGGGUGCGUAGGCGGUCUUUCAAGUCAGGAGUGAAAGGCUACGGCUCAACCGUAGUAAGCUCUUGAAACUGGGAGACUUGAGUGCAGGAGAGGAGAGUGGAAUUCCUAGUGUAGCGGUGAAAUGCGUAGAUAUUAGGAGGAACACCAGUUGCGAAGGCGGCUCUCUGGACUGUAACUGACGCUGAGGCACGAAAGCGUGGGGAGCAAACAGGAUUAGAUACCCUGGUAGUCCACGCUGUAAACGAUGAGUACUAGGUGUCGGGGGUUACCCCCNAUAUAUAAAUUGUGGGUGCAUAGCUCAGCUGGAUAGAGCAACGCCCUUCUAAGGCGUGUGUCCGGGGUUCGAAUCCCUGUGCGCUCACCACAUAUAUUGGGGAUUAGCCAAGUCGGUAAGGCACAUGACUUUGACUCAUGUAUGCGUAGGUUCGAGUCCUGCAUCCCCAGCCAAAUGAUGUAUUACUAAGCUAUAUUUGAAUUAUUUUUAUUUUAAAUAUAGUUAGGUUCAAUUUUAGAAUAAGUUUAAGUAUCCGAAUGUGGAGAGGUGUCCGAGUGGUUUAAGGAGCUGGUCUUGAAAACCAGUGACUUCGAAAGGGGCCGUGGGUUCGAAUCCCACCCUCUCCGCCAAAUGCCCAGAUAGCUCAGUCGGUAGAGCAGGGGACUGAAAAUCCCCGUGUCGGUGGUUCGAUUCCGCCUCUGGGCACCAAAAUGUGGCGGUAUAGCUUAGUUGGCUAGAGCGUUCGGUUCAUACCCGAAAGGUCAUAGGUUCGACUCCUAUUACCGCUACUGAAAUUUAAUGUGGGCCAUUAGCUCAGUUGGUUAGAGCGCCCGGCUCAUAACCGGUAGGUCUGGGGUUCGAGUCCCUGAUGGCCCACCACAUUAAAUUAACUUAUGGUGGGUAUAGCUCAGUUGGUUAGAGCGCCAGAUUGUGGCUCUGGAGGUCGUGAGUUCGACUCUCAUUAUCCACCCCAACUUAUAUGGUCUAUUAGCUCAGUCGGUAGAGCACCUGACUUUUAAUCAGGGUGUCCCGCGUUCGAGUCGCGGAUAGAUCACCAAAAAGGCGGCGACAUAGCCAAGUGGUAAGGCAGUGGACUGCAACUCCUUGAUCCCCAGUUCGAAUCUGGGUGUCGCCUCCAAUAAAAUGCGCUCAUAGCUCAACUGGAUAGAGUGUCUGACUACGAAUCAGAAGGUUAGGGGUUCGAGUCCCUUUGGGCGCACCAUAUGAAUAGCGAGGGAUUAUAGCUCAGCUGGGAGAGCACCUGCCUUACAAGCAGGGGGUCACAGGUUCGAGCCCUGUUAAUCCCACCAGUGCAAACCUCUAGUAAAACUACUAGAGGUUUUAUUUUUGAUUGAAAAAGUUUUUAUAUUUAGGAGGUAAAAAAUUUGUAUAUAGUAAUAGGAAAUGAAAUAGUUGAUAGUGAAGAACUUAAAAUAAUUAUAGAUAAAAAUAGUGAAUUUAAAGUUGAAAAAGAUUUAAGUAAAAGCACAAAAAGAGAAGAUGUAAUAGCAUAUCAGUUAAGUAUAGAUUUAAAUUACCUAGAUUCUCUUAUAAAUGAGCAAUGUAAUUUAGCCAGUCUAUCUGAUGAAGAGAAAUUUGAUGAAUAUAUGACUUUGUCUGAUGAACUUGCACUGGAUUUAGAAGAGUUAAUGCCAAAAUAUACAAUAAUAAAUGCUAGAGCAUAUAAAUUAGACGAGGUAGAUGGAAUUGUAAAAAUAAUACUAGCUGUAGCGUAUGCAGAUUUAGGGCACUUAAAACUUUCUGAUGUAGUAAAGAGGCUAUCUAGACAAGUAGAUUAGGAUAUGAAUAUGAACUAUAUUAAAAAAAUGUAUAAAAUCUUACGUAAAGAUGAAAAUAAUUAUGUAAACAUAGAAAAAAACAGUAUAAAAUCAAGUCAAUUGUAGAAAUUUUCACAUAAAUUCAUCUGAAAUUCUAUAAAAAAUGCCUUAAUUUUAAUGAGGUAAAUCGAGUUUACACAGUCUAAAAAUUACUUAUAUUUAUAAAUUUAUCUUAUUAAUUAAGGAACUUUCUUAAACAUCUUCAAAAAUAAAGUAUUUUAGUCUAUAAUCUUUAAUAUUACACAAACAAUAAAGGAGAAGAAUAGAGUAUGCUUAAAAAGUUUAAUAAAAUACUAGUGGCUAAUAGAGGCGAAAUAGCUAUAAGAAUAUUUAGAGCCUGUUCAGAAUUGGGGAUAAAAAGUGUUGGUAUAUACAGUAAGGAAGAUAAGUAUGGAUUGUUUAGAACAAAAGCGGAUGAAUCAUAUUUGAUAGGAGAAGGUAAAGGGCCAAUAGAUGCAUAUUUAGAUAUGGAUGGAAUAAUAGACCUAGCAAAGAGAAAAAAAGUUGAUGCUAUACAUCCAGGAUAUGGUUUUCUAGCGGAGAAUGCAGAAUUUGCUCGUAAAUGUGAAGAGAAUGGAAUUACUUUUAUAGGACCAUCAUCUAAGGUAAUGAAUAUGAUGGGGGAUAAGAUUAACUCUAAAAAAAUCGCAAAAGAAGUUAAUGUUCAAACU
rnacentral:rRNA from 1 species